CGCCGUUUCUAUCUUCUUCGUUAUUUUCGUUUUUUUUUUUUGUGAGUAUCAAAGGCUGUUUAUGAUUGCACAAGUACUGGGACAUCCCUGUAAAAACAAUUGGGGAAUCUGUCUAAUAAUUUUAUGUGCAUAUAUCAAAAUUAGGGAUCCGCUUUGCAGCUUAUGACCCGACCCGAAUCAGUUUCGGUUUUUUUUUCGUGUCUCUGCUGCCAGU